rnacentral:rRNA from 1 species
GGAAUUUUGGACAAUGGGCGCAAGCCUGAUCCAGCAAUGCCGCGUGAGUGAAGAAGGCCUUCGGGUUGUAAAGCUCUUUUGUCAGGGAAGAAACGGGCCUUUCUAAUACAGAGGCCUAAUGACGGUACCUGAAGAAUAAGCACCGGCUAACUACGUGCCAGCAGCCGCGGUAAUACGUAGGGUGCAAGCGUUAAUCGGAAUUACUGGGCGUAAAGCGUGCGCAGGCGGUUUUGUAAGACUGUCGUGAAAUCCCCGGGCUCAACCUGGGAAUGGCGAUGGUGACUGCAAGGCUAGAGUUUGGCAGAGGGGGGUAGAAUUCCACGUGUAGCAGUGAAAUGCGUAGAUAUGUGGAGGAACACCGAUGGCGAAGGCAGCCCCCUGGGUCAAAACUGACGCUCAUGCACGAAAGCGUGGGGAGCAAACAGGAUUAGAUACCCCAG